AACGAACGCUGGCGGCAGGCUUAGCACAUGCAAGUCGAACGCCCCGCAAGGGGAGUGGCAGACGGGUGAGUAACGCGUGGGAAUCUACCCAGUUCUACGGAACAACUGAGGGAAACUUCAGCUAAUACCGUAUACGCCCUACGGGGGAAAGAUUUAUCGGAAUUGGAUGAGCCCGCGUUAGAUUAGCUAGUUGGUGGGGUAAUGGCCUACCAAGGCGACGAUCUAUAGCUGGUCUGAGAGGAUGAUCAGCCACACUGGGACUGAGACACGGCCCAGACUCCUACGGGAGGCAGCAGUGGGGAAUAUUGGACAAUGGGCGCAAGCCUGAUCCAGCCAUGCCGCGUGAGUGAUGAAGGCCUUAGGGUUGUAAAGCUCUUUCAGUGGGGACGAUAAUGACGGUACCCACAGAAGAAGCCCCGGCUAACUUCGUGCCAGCAGCCGCCGCCGUAA
rnacentral:rRNA from 1 species